rnacentral:rRNA from 1 species
GAUGAACGCUGGCGGCGUGCCUAAUACAUGCCAGUCGAGCGAACAGACGAGGAGCUUGCUCCUCUGACGUUAGCGGCGGACGGGUGAGUAACACGUGGAUAACCUACCUAUAAGACUGGGAUAACUUCGGGAAACCGGAGCUAAUACCGGAUAAUAUAUUGAACCGCAUGGUUCAAUAGUGAAAGACGGUUUUGCUGUCACUUAUAGAUGGAUCCGCGCCGCAUUAGCUAGUUGGUAAGGUAACGGCUUACCAAGGCGACGAUGCGUAGCCGACCUGAGAGGGUGAUCGGCCACACUGGAACUGAGACACGGUCCAGACUCCUACGGGAGGCAGCAGUAGGGAAUCUUCCGCAAUGGGCGAAAGCCUGACGGAGCAACGCCGCGUGAGUGAUGAAGGUCUUCGGAUCGUAAAACCCUGUUAUUAGGGAAGAACAAAUGUGUAAGUAACUAUGCACGUCUUGACGGUACCUAAUCAGAAAGCCACGGCUAACUACGUG